UUACUUACCUGGCAGGGAAGACACCGUGAGAAUGAAGGUGGUUUUUCAGGAAAGGUUCACCCUUUCACUCCAGAUUCCCCCAAAUGUGGGAAACUCAGCUGCAUAAUUUAUGGUGGUUGUGGGGGGAACUAUGUUUGUACUCUCCUCUU
rnacentral:snRNA from 1 species